GCAAGGAACAAGUAGCCCGCUCCAGCGACUAUCUCGAUGGCCAACUAAGUUUUCGUGAGCGACUGAUGGUGCGCCAUCAUCUGAUGUUCUGCCCCAAUUGUCGGCGGUUCAUUCGGCAAAUGCGCUUGAUGCAGGCAACGUUGCGUAUUUUGCCGCAAAAGGCUGUGCCGGAUAUCGAUGCGCUCGCCGAACGCCUCGCUGCGGAGCGUCGCAAGGACAUUCCGUAGAUU
rnacentral:misc_RNA from 1 species